UACGGGGGGAGCAAGCGUUGUUCGGAUUUACUGGGCGUAAAGGGCGCGUAGGCGGCCACCGCAAGUCGACUGUGAAAUCUCCGGGCUUAACCCGGAAAGGUCAGCCGAUACUGCGGGGCUAGAGUGCAGAAGGGGCAACUGGAAUUCUCGGUGUAGCGAUGAAAUGCGUAGAUAUCGAGAGGAACACCUGCGGCGAAGGCGGGUUGCUGGGCUGACACUGACGCUGAUGCGCGAAAGCUAGGGGAGCGAACGGG
rnacentral:rRNA from 1 species